rnacentral:rRNA from 1 species
GAUGAACGCUAGCUACAGGCUUAACACAUGCAAGUCGAGGGCCCGGCGCACGGGUGAGUAACACGUAUCCAUCCUGCCCUUUACUCGGGGAUAGCCUUUCGAAAGAAAGAUUAAUACCAGAUAUAAAGGAUGGGGAUGCGUUCCAUUAGGUUGUUGGUGAGGUAACGGCUCACCCAGCCUUCGAUGGAUAGGGGUUCGGAGUGGAAGGGCACCGGCAUUGGUACUGGGACACGAUCCAAACGCCAAGGGGAGGCAGGAGUGAGGAAUAUUGGGGAGUCAGCGCUAGCGUGAACCAGCCAAGUAGCGUGAAGGAUGAUGGGUUAUGGUUCGUAAUCUUCUUAUAUAUAAGCAUAGGUAAUAAAUGAAUAAGGAUCGGCUAACUCCGUGCCAGCAGCCGCGGUAAUUC